rnacentral:rRNA from 1 species
AGAGUUGUAUCCUGGCUCAGGACGAACGCUGGCGGUGCGCCUUAUGCAUGCAAGUCGAGCGAAGCUUUUCAGUAGUUUACUACAGAAAAUGACUGAGCGGCGAACGGGUGAGUAACGCGUGAGCAAUCUACCUUAGUUACAGGGAUAGCCCGAGGAAACUCGGAUUAAUACCUGAUAUUCUUUAUUUCUCGCAUGAGAAUAAAAGGAAAGGUCAGCCGAACUAAGAUGAGCUCGCGUUCUAUCAGCUAGUUGGUGAGGUAAAAGCUUACCAAGGCUACGACGGAUAGCUGGUCUGAGAGGACGAUCAGCCACACUGGGACUGAGACACGGCCCAGACUCCUACGGGAGGCUGCAGCAGGGAAUAUUGUGCAAUGAACGAAAGUUUGACACAGCGACACCGCGUGUGGGAUGACGGAUCUAGGUUUGUAAACCACUUUCAGGAGGGAAGAAAAUGACGGUACCUCCACAAGAAGCCCCGGCCAACUACGUGCCAGCAGCCGCGGUAAUACGUAGGGGGCGAGCGUUGUCCGGAUUUAUUGGGCGUAAAGAGCUCGUAGGCGGUUCAACAAGUCGGUCGUAAAAGUUCAGGGCUCAACCCUGAAAUGUCGAUCGAUACUGUUGUGACUAGGAUACGGUAGAGGUGAGUGGAAUUCCGAGUGUAGCGGUGAAAUGCGUAGAUAUUCGGAGGAACACCAAUUGCGAAGGCAGCUCACUGGGCCGCUAUCGACGCUGAGGAGCGAAAGCUAGGGGAGCAAACAGGAUUAGAUACCCUGGUAGUCCUAGCUGUAAACGAUGGAUACUAGACG